rnacentral:rRNA from 1 species
GAUGAACGCUAGCGAUAGGCUUAACACAUGCAAGUCGAGGGGCAGCAUGGUCUUAGCUUGCUAAGACUGAUGGCGACCGGCGCACGGGUGCGUAACGCGUAUGCAACUUGCCUCACAGAGGUGGAUAACCCGUCGAAAGACGGACUAAUACCGCGUACACUUGGGAUAGGGCAUCCUGACCCAAGGAACUGAACUUCGCUGUGAGAUAGGCAUGCGUCCCAUUAGCUAGUUGGUGAGGUAACGGCUCACCAGGGCGACGAUGGGUAGGGGAACUGAGAGGUGGAACCCCCACACUGGUACUGAGACACGGACCAGACUCCUACGGGAGGCAGCAGUGAGGAAUAUUGGUCAAUGGGCGAGAGCCUGAACCAGCCAAGUCGCGUGAAGGAUGACUGUCUUAUGGAUUGUAAACUUCUUUUAGACGGGAAUAACAAGAGUCACGUGUGGCUCCCUGCAUGUACCGUAUGAAUAAGCAUCGGCUAACUCCGUG